UAAACAGAUUAAAAAAAAAGUUUGCAAAAUAUGGCUAAGGGCAAUUUGGGAAUAGACUAUAUUUUAUUGUCUAGAUUACUGAAUUUUAUAGACAGAACCAAAUAUAGUAAUACUAUAAAUACUGCAAUCUAGCAUUAUAUUACUGUAUUAAACCAAACGUGCUAAUGCAGUAUAAAUAGUAAUCUCAUAUAGAAAUUCAAGACAUCUGGAUAUAUCGAAGUACUCUGUAAUAUUACAUAAUUUGAAUCAAACGCGCCCUAAAUGCUUUGUAUAUUCAUAUUCUCACUUUAUGACUACAAAAGCAUAACUCCAACUUACCU
rnacentral:lncRNA from 1 species